GAUGAACGCUGGCGGCGUGCCUAAUACAUGCAAGUCGAGCGAACGGACGAGAAGCUUGCUUCUCUGAUGUUAGCGGCGGACGGGUGAGUAACACGUGGAUAACCUACCUAUAAGACUGGGAUAACUUCGGGAAACCGGAGCUAAUACCGGAUGAUAUUUUGAACCGCAUGGUUCAAAAGUGAAAGACGGUUUUGCUGUCACUUAUAGAUGGAUCCGCGCUGCAUUAGCUAGUUGGUAAGGUAACGGCUUACCAAGGCAACGAUGCGUAGCCGACCUGAGAGGGUGAUCGGCCACACGGGAACUGAGACACGGUCCAGACUCCUACGGGAGGCAGCAGUAGGGAAUCUUCCGCAAUGGGCGAAAGCCUGACGGAGCAACGCCGCGUGAGUGAUGAAGGUCUUCGGAUCGUAAAACUCUGUUAUUAGGGAAGAACAUAUGUGUAAGUAACUGUGCACGUCUUGACGGUACCUAAUCAGAAAGCCACGGCUAACUACGUG
rnacentral:rRNA from 1 species